CCUAAAAGGCCCUAUUCUAUAAAGCACAGGUAUUUACUAGGACUGCUAUGUGGGGCAAGCUAGUGAAGUUCUUUCUUUCAUGGUGCCUAUCUCGAUUCUUAAACAACAUCUACCGUCUGGUCGAGUCAGCUUCGCUCCUUUAUUCGUACAUCUCUUUCUCGAAUGGAAAUUUCCCAAUAGUCAAGGUAGGGCGCAGAAGAACAUUAGUGGGUAUAACGAGAAGCAUUAGGAGAAGGAGUGUAAUCAAUAUUGAAUGAAGUUUAUGUAGACUAAAAGCUUAGUAAACUAGCCCAAUAGGCUAUUCGUCUAACUGGUUAAAGAAGAGAAGAGCUAGCAAUAAUUGUGUUUGCAGCGUAAACUCCUGCUAAAUGAAUGCCUUUGCUUUGGCUUUGAAAUUAUGUUCCUGAUUCAACUCUUUCAUGCCAUUGAUUGAUACAAGUCUUUUCCUUGUGUAAGAGAGAAAUUAAUCCUACUUCCUUGUUCACAUGAAUAUGUGAGUCAAGUGAAGGACUAUGGGAUCGGGUAACUGGGUAUGCACUGCUUAGGUCCACCACAAAGAACGAUAAGACUAUUCAUCAUGAUUUACUAAAGUAAAUAUGGUGAUGCUUACCAGUUUAAAUAUAAUUCUACAUCAUUGGAAAAUGUUCAAUGUAUGGCAGAACAAAUGAGCAUAAUCAAGUUCGGUAGAAAGAUAAAAGUUUCUCCAAUCUGAAAAGAUGGGAGAGUAGUUGAGUAUUGUGUUUUAUGAUCAUCUUAAUGAUUAUGGAAACCAUUUUACAAUUGAUCCGCUAAUGAUAUCUUGGUGUAUUUUCAUGGCUAAGAAGAGGAAUCAUGAAUUGUUGAAAUGGUUAAAUCUAAAAGAUGAGUCAUACUUCGUUCCAAAAAAAAGUAUUAGAGUCAUACUCCAAGAUUGAGCCUUGAGUCAUAUAAUCUUAAGAAAGGUUUAUAACACUUACCAAAUGUAUAGUAAAAUGUUUCUACUCUUGUACAUUUGAAAUUGAUAAGUUGUUAUGUUUUGGAUAAAACAAAGACCAACUAAGGCCAAUUGUGUGAAGUGUUAGUCUUGUUUAGAAUCCUCACUAACUCCCGAAUAUUCGUUUGUCAAGUAAUGGUCCUUGACAAAGUGAAUCGUAUAUAUCAAGAGGUCAGUAGGAGUUUUAAAGAUCUUGAAAGUUUCAAGAACUAAUCAAUAAUAAACCUAUUGUUAGACACUAGCACACGAUUUGAGGUUUGUAACUUAUCGUGUUUACAUAUUCUUGUUUCUGUGCCCAUUCCGGUUAAGUUGACUAUGCAUGUGAGUGCUAUGAGUUCUCAGUUGUUUGCAUAACAACCUAGGAAGCAAUGGUAGGCCCUGUUGCCAGGUGGCAAGAAGUUAAGAAUGAACAAGCUCAGUCCAUAUGAGUUUGGAUUAAUCACUAACCAUGUCUUGUGAUUAUGGUUAUGACCAAUUCACAUGGAUAUGAACACAUAUACCAUAAAAUCUAAGUGUCAUAAGGUUUCUCUCCACUUCAUGAAAAUGAUUGUGAGGAAACGCUUUCACUAAGUAGAUUUUAAACAGUUAGCAAUUGUGAUAUUUGCAUUCUCAAAUUCGAUUAUGAUUACAGCAUCCCUCUUCAUAGUUCGAAUUAUGAGAGACGACAAAGAUCUAAACAUUUGAGACUUAUUGUUGUAAGUUCUAAAAUUGUUUAGACCCACAUGUGAGUUAUCUAACGAAAGGUGUAUGAGUUUGAGAAGCCUAGAUAAAGUCUUAUCGAAGCAUCUCGUAUCAGAAAUCUUAACUUUGGUAAUGAAAGUCAAUAAGUAUUGAUUUCUAGAAGUCUAGUUGAUUUCUCGGUACAUGUCAAAGCUAGUGGGACAUAAGUUUUAUGCUAGUAAGAUAAUAAUUAUCAUGCUAGUAGAAGCAUAAUUAUUAUGGUAAGUGUUGCAAGUUAGUAAUAAUAAUUGUAGAAAACAAAAGUUUCAAUUCGCAAAGUUGUGGAUUUGAAAAGUUGUUUUGCUAUAAUUAAGGGGGAGGAAUUUAUACUUCAUUUUCAAAAUCUAAAAUCUUAGAUUGAGUUUUUAAUCAAAUUUAGUCAUNAUAUAUGAAUCUUAUGUUGGAAUGGUUCAACAUAGGGAAAUUAUAUAUAUGGAAAUGUUAAUUGCGUUCUUAAAAUUUGACUAUGAUUACGGCAUCCCUCUUCAUAAUCAAAAUUAUGAGAACAUGGAAAACAGAAAUAUUAUAGCAAAAGGCUGAUCAAGUAUCAAGUCUUUAGGUUAGACAUUAUGAAUCGCAUCCCAUAUGCUUUGGGUAUAGGAUCGAUUGCAUAUGCUAUAAUAUAAUCGCGUUCUAAAUUUUCCAAAUGCCUAGGGAAUUAAGAGGGAAAAUCGACUAGAACUGGAUAUGACUAAUGUGGUUAACAACUAUUAACGACAAUCUAAGGUUCGCCAAGGAUUGGUCGAUUGUAGUUGGAAUUAUAAAAUGGAUGGACCAUGUUGAUAUACUCUGAAAAGAGGAAACUCUUGUUAAGAAGUGAUAGUCGAAAUGGGAAUUUGGAAAUGUUUUCAUAAGUGGGAGUUAUUCUUUAAAUCUGUGUAAGAUGAGGAAACUUAAUGCAAGAAGGAUGUUCAAAGAAAUGUACUUUGAAUUUGAGACUUCACCUCCUUGGAAUUGCAUUGUUAUCAAUCUCGAGUGGAAAGUUUUGUAAUAUCGCUGGUCAAGUCUUUAUGAAUUUUGGUACCAUGACAUUACAAAGGCUGCAUUACAUGAAAGUUUAGUAGUGACAAGAAUUUGGAAUUCUUACAGUUGCAAUAAAGAUUUGGAAAUGAGAAAUGAGCAUCAUUGUAAUGUUUUCAAUUGAUCUAUUUCACAAAGUCAAGACCAUAGACAAACAUAGUGUGUAUUCUUGGAGAAUGGCAUAGAUAUUGUUUUAAUUCAAGUAUUAAGUUGAUUAUUCGAAACAUUAUACAAUGAAUGAUGAGUAAUCAAUAUGGAUUAAAAGUUUUGGGGCCAAAUAGGAUUAAUAUUAUUCUUGUGUUUCACUUUGUAUGAUUUUACUUCCCAAAUAACAAGGUUAUUCAAAUCAUCCACAGUCGAUCAUACUUGGAAGUCGGUAUUGAGGCAAAGACUAUCAUGAAUGGGUCUAUGGAGGUGUUUUAUUCAUAGCACAGGUUUUAUACAAUGUUCAUGAGUACCCCUGGAAUAAGAUUCGAAUAUUGGAUUCAACCUACGCUCAUCUGAAUCACUUCAUGGAUUUUAUCACGAGUAAUUGUGAGAUGAUAAUAUCUUAUAUUCUUGAAACAAGGACAUGCGAUUUGUAGUUACAAGUCGGUUGCACAUUGACAUAUGUAAACGCACCAGUAACUUGGAUGUUAUAAAAGAUAUUGUUGUGUGUAAUUUGAUGAGUAAGUACAAGAAAGCAUUUGUGGGCCCCUCAAUGAGUUAGUGAUGAUACCCCUAAGUGCUUGGCCAAGCUUGGACUGAUUUCAUUUGUUCAAUUAGUCGUUCAUCAUAAAUCGGAAAUCGGGAAACAAUAGAUGGAUAGAGAGAGUGAUAAAAGUCCAUGUAUCAGUCCAUAUGAUUUCUAGAAUGGAGAAAUAUAUGAUCCCUUAUCUAAUGGACGCGUCAUUGACUAGGUCAGAGUUUGACAACGAAUUUUAAGAGUUACGAUUUCUAGUUGGGUUGUGGAUUCAUACUUGCAAUAAUAGUUAUUAGACUUAUCCAAGUGGGAGACUGUUUGAUUCGUGUCUAUGUUUAUAACUAUAAUUUGUAUGUACUUUACCCGAGAAUAGCAUGGUCCAUUUGGGUUACAUUUAACCAGAACAAUUUGUAAGGAUGGACUUUUGAGAAGAGGUUAUUUAUGAUUUAUUAAUAUAUUAUAAGUUCUAUUAUAUUAAUAUGAAAUCGUAUUAUUUAAUUAGUAUUGAUCAAGAAUUAAUUUGGAAUUCAUUUUGUGAUCAAAAGAGACUAAUUAAAUAUAUGGGGAUUGAUUGUGUAAAUCAUUCAUUCUUAUAAAGUGGGCUUAUUAUCCAUAGUUUCUUAUGUUGGGCUACACCCAUGUGGUGACCCAUGGAUACUCCUUAAAGGUUAAAAUCCAUGGAACCUAAGGAAUGUGGAAAGUCAUGCACAUUAGGGUUUGAAUGGUGUAACCCUAAUCAUGACACACUUUAUAAGAAAUCUUCUAGCUCAUGAAAUCGGUACUAGUGAGUCUUUGGAAGAGCAUAUCCAAUUUUGUGUGCAAGAAACAUUCUCUCAAGUCCUCCAAUUGUUGGUGGUGAUUUGUGCUUCCAUUUGAGGCAUUCACAUUAUUGGUUCUAGGCUCUUAAACCUCCAAGUUAGCAAGGUACCAGAAAGGUAAGUCAUCUUAAUAGAUUUUUGUAGUGUAUAUACUCCAUUGUAUGCUAGUUAGGAUGAUGCUUUGGAAAUAAAAAAGUUUGCAUGUAUAUUAGAGAAAACAUAGAUCCAAAGCAUCUAAGGUUGCAUGUACACUAUAGGAGUGUUAGAAUGCUCAAAAACUUUCAAGAACAUGAUGUUAGGAAGAAUUGUUGUUAGGUAGAGUAGCGACCCAAUCAUUCCUUUAUACUUAUUUUCAUUGACAACAACACUUGAUGGGUCCGAGAAGAUCUUGUGUCGAAAACCCAUAGGUACCUUGGCACAGGCACAAGUGUCCAUCAAAUAUUUUUUUAGAAGCUCAGAAAUGUAUUUUGUCUUGGUGAAUAAAUAUUCCUCUAUUGGUCUAUUUUACUUGGAGACCUGUGAAGAAACUUAGUUCACGAUGCAUGCUCAUUUGGGAUUGACUAAAUAUUAAUUUGGAAAAAUCAGCAACCAUUGAUGAACUCAUGGAUCCAAAAAUAAUAUCGACAACAUAGAUUUUGUUGGGUUUUGAGCAUUCUAACACUCCUAAGUGUACAUGCAACCCUAAAUACCUUGGAUCUAUGUUUUCUCUAUUAUACAUGCAAAUAUGAACUUUCUAAGGUAUUCAUCCUAACUAGCAUAAUAACAUUGAUUCAUAUGAAUAUAUCAAGUUAGAAUUACAUACCUCUUUGAUGUAGAAUGUCUUCAUGAAGCUUGAGUGCCUAGUGCCCCAAGUGUGACACCUCAAAUGGUUCACACAACACUAAAUACACUUGGAAUAGAUUAGAGAGAAAUCCACACUUCAUAAAAUCGGCUAGCCCUUUCACAUAUACUCUAGUGCCGAUUUUGUCACCAAUAAGAUCUUUAUAUAGCGUCACAAUUAGGGUAAACCCUAAUUGUCAUGGCUUUCCAUUUCCUUGGAUCCAUGGUUUCAAAUACACCAUGGAGCAUCCAUGGAGCAUCCUUUGGGUUGUAGCCCAACUUGAUAAUCCAUGGAGUCUUAGCCCACUAUACAAAUAUGGAUGAUUUACACAAUCAACCCAUAUAUUUAAUUAGUCUUCUUUUGAUCACUUAAUUAAUCCUAGAUUAAUUCUUGAUCAAUACUAAUUAAAUAAUCUUAUUAAUAUAUUAGAACUUAUAAUAUAUUAACAAACCUUAAGUGUUAUUUCUUUCAUUAUAGUCUAUCCAAAUGCAUGAUGACAUCCAACCCAAAUGGACCAUGUCGGGUCAGGUCAAGUCUUACCAGUUAUAGUUAUGGACAUGGACAUUAAUCCAACAGUCUCCCACUUGGAUAAGUCUAAAACUAUUAUUGCAAGUAUGACUUCAAGAACCGACUGGCAAUCGUAGCUCUCAAAAGCUUCUGUCAAACUUUAACCUUGUCGAUGAUCUCUGACCUAUGUCAAUGACUUUUCCGUUAGAUAAGGGAUCAUAUAUUCCUCCAUUCUAGAUAUCAUAUAGACUAAGCCAUGGAUUAUAAUCAUUCUCCAUGUCCAUUUGUUGUUUCCCGUUUUCCGAUUUAUGACGACUGACUGAUUGAACAAAUCAAAUCAGUCCAGGCCCAGCCGAGCACUUACAUUUGUCAUCACCAAAUCAUCACCAAAUCCCGAUGGUAAAAGGAAUGGAUAAACUUUGACUCAUAUGGCUUGUUCUACUACGUGUUGAAUAAUACACAAUGGCACAUUUUAUAACAUCGAGUUACCAAUGCGUUUUCGUGCAAUCAAUGUAUAACCAACUCAUAGUAACAACUCAUAUCUCUAGGUUUGAAGAAUAUAAGAUAUUAUCGUCUCAUGAUCACUCAUGAUAAAAUCCAUGAAGUGAUUCCAAUGAGCGCGGGUUGAAUCCAAUACUCAGAACUUAUGAGCACUCAUGAGUGUUAUAGCACCACCUUGUCCAACAUCUAGGACAUCUACAAGCCAAACCCAUGAUAGUCUUGAUUCAUAUCUACUUCCAACAUAUGACCGACUGUGGAUGAUUUGAAUAACUUAGUCAUUCAGAACAAUGACCUAGUUAUUCAGGAAGUCAAAACAUGCAAAGUGAAAUACAAUAAUAAUCGAAUCCAAUAUGGUCUUAGAAAUUAUCAAUAUAAAUAAAACACCUUUUAUUUAUCACCAUAUGAUUACACAUUAUUCAUUGUAUAUUGCUUCAAACUAUCAACUUUAUACUUGAAUUCUAACACUAGUUGUCCCAUGCUCCAAGCAUGUACACUAUGUUUUCUAAACACUAGUCAUGUCAUACACCAAGUAUGCAUACUAUGUUUGUCUAUGAUCUUUACUUUAUGAAAUAGAUCAAUUGAACAUAACUCCAGUGAUCCUCUUUUCACAGUCCCAAAUCCUUACUGCAGGUGCAAGAAUCCCAAAUUUAUGCCAUUUACUAAAAUCUGUUAGAUUCUAAACUUAUAUACAUUGAUCCUCUUGUAAUGAUUAUGCACAAAGUCAGAAAGACUUGACAACAAUCAUUACAGAGUAUUCCAAANGAGAUCAACUCCUUGGAAACAUCCUUCUUGCAUUAAGUUUCCUAAUCUUACAUAGAUUGAAUAAUUUCUAUCUUUGAAACAUUUCCAUAUUCCAUUUUGAUUAUCACUUCUAAACAAGAGUUGCCUCCUUACAGAUUAUGUCAAUACGGUUCUUCCAAUAAUUAACAUUAUACUUCCAACUAUCCCUGAGCAACCAAUCUUUGGUAAACCAUAGAUUUUCCUCAACAAUUUCUUAAUCCUCUUAGUCAUUUCCAAUUCUAGACCUUUUCCCUUCUUAAUGCCCCAUGCAUUUGGAAAAUUUUAGAAAGGAUGAAUAUAGCACAUGUAAUCGAUCCUAUAUCCGAAGCAUAUGGGACACGAUUCAUGAUGUCUGACAUAAAGACUAAACUAGUCUUUUUCUAUAACAUUUCCUUUUCUAUUUGCCAAGUUCUCAUAAUUCAUAUUACGAAAAGGGAUGUCGUAAUCAUAAUCGAAUUGUUUAGAACGUAAAUAAUGGACCCAUAUAUAGAAUUUCCUUAUGUUGAGCUAUUCCAACAUGAAAUUCAUAUAUAUAUAUAUAUAUAUAUANCUCAAUCUAAGCUUUUAGAUUUUAAAUGAAAUAUUUCCUUUCCCUUAAUUAUAGCAAAACAACUCUUUCCCAAUUGAAACAUUUUGUUUUCUAUAAUUAACAUUGCUAAGUUGCAACCUUUAUCAUUAUUGUCAUGCUCCCACUAAUAUGAUAAUUAUUAGCAUAACACUUAUGCUCCCACUAUCUUUGACAUGUACUUAGAAAUCAGCUAGACUUGUAGUAAUCAAUACUUUAUUGACUUUCUUACCAAAGUUCAGAUUUCUGAUACUAGAUUGCUUUGAUAAAACUUUAUCAAUACCAUACACCUUAUCUUAGAUAGCUCAUAAGUGUGUCUAAACAAUUUAAGAACUAUGAAAAGGGAUGUCAUAAUCAUAGUCUCGAUUGUUUAGACGUUUGCCACUUCUCACAAGUCCAUGUUAGUGUGCCGGUUAACCACACAUGCUCCACUAACGACUUUGAGAAUGUAAAUAUCACAAUUGCUAUCUAGCUAAAAUCUACUUAUUGAAAGAGUUUCCUCACCAUCAUUUUCAUGAGUCGGAGAGAAACCUUAUGACACUUAGAUUUAAUAGUGUAUGUGUUCUUAUCCAUGUGAAUUGUCAAAACUAUAGUCACAAGACAAGGAUAAUGACUAAUCCAAACUCAUAUGGACUGAACUCAAUCUUAAUUUCUUGCCAUCUGGCAGCUCAAGGGCCUACCAUUGCUUCCAAGUUGUUGUGCAACCAAUUGAGAACUCUAAGAACUCAUAUGAAAAGCCAACUUUAAUUGGAAUGGGCACAGAAUAUGUCAACACAAUAGCUUAUAAACCUCAAGUCGUGUGCUUGUGAAGAACUUCAGGUUUUAUUCUUGAUUAGUUCUUGAGAUUUUCAAGACCUUUAAGACUCCCACUAUCCUCUUGACAUACAAGACUAUCUUGUCAAAUAUUCAAGAGAUAAUGUAAAUUCUAAUCAAGACAAACAGUUCACACAAUUGGCCUUAGUUGGUCUUUGUUUUAUCCAAAACAUCACAACUUACCAAUUUCAAAUGUACAAGAGUACAAAACUUUUACUCUUACAUUUGACAAGUGUUUUAAACCUUCUUUAAGACAUGUCACUCAAGUUACAAUCUUAGAGUAUAACUAUAAGAAUUGUUUUUGGAACGAAGUAUGAAUCAUCUUCUUGAUUUAACAACUUCAAUAAUUCAUAAAUCCUCUUCUUAACUAGUAGAAUGCACUUAGAGGAUAAAUUGUGAUAAGGUCUCAAAUCAUUAAGAUGGUCUUAAAACAUGAUACUAAUGUACUCUCCCAUCUUUUCAGAUUUGAGAAACUUUUAUCUUUCUGCCUAAUUUGAUUCUUCUCAUUCGUUCUGCCAUACACUGACGAUGUCACACCCCAAAACCGGAACGGCGGAAACGUUCUGGGGUGGAUGACGUCAUGUCAAGUAUCACAACACAUUCAUUAUAGUAAUCAAAGUACAACAAAACAUUGCAUUAAUAGUAAUAGUUUUACAUGGUUUACAUGACAGUACAUAAAGGUAAUACAAGUAAAUAUAACAAGUACAGCAUGGUAUUAAGCUAUCUUCAUCAACAGCUCUGGGGAUGUACCUGUCUAAUGUUGACCUGAGAAUACAAGUUAUUUGAAAAGCGAGUAUCAGCAUUUUUACAAAUGCUGGUGAGUUCAUAAGUAUUUAGCGUCAUUUUUAUUCAAUAACUUUAACAAAAGUGGUGGUUUUAGAGUAUCCAUUAUAUUAGAGUCCUUUCCAGAAAAUCCUAUAUUUUCUUUAAUAAAAGCAGUCUUCUACCAAGACUAGAUGAAGUUAUAUGGUAAAAAGUAGUUUUCCCUUAAUCGCUAUCAUUAUCAAAAUACAGAAUUUGAUUAUUAAAGAAAGCAAGAGAAAUCAGGAAAAAUAACAUAUGCCUCAGCAGUGAAGACCGCUGACUAAGGCAAAAGGAAUCAUAGACUCCAGGAGAGUAUCAAACGAACGACACGCCUGGCUCAGUCUAACAAGGGGGACAUAGACCCCAGACUGUAUCAAAUAAAAGAUACAGCUAGUAAGGUCUAAAACAAAGGAUACAGACCCCAAACAGUAUCAAAUGAAAGAUACAGCUAGCAAGGUCUAAAAGAGUGGAUACAGACCACAGACAGUAUCAAAUGCAAGGUCUAGAACAAAGUGACUCUGAGAGUGGGUUUCCAGCAUACAGUGUAAAAUACAGUGUCAAUACCGUUACCUUAAGGCCAUGAAUUAUAAGGUAACCUGGGAUACUCGUAACCAUACUAACCGACACUAGAUUACCUGACGCCCUACAAGCGUCUAUAAAAUAUGACAUUUGUCACCCCUUGGCUUGGUAGGUCGUGGACUGUAGCUAGCAGUCAGGGUGCGGGGGUGUCAAUCCUGUAUAGAUCUAUACACACAAUGUCUGCUCUCCCUACAGGAGACUCUGGUUACCAACUACACGAUGGAGAAGGCCGUGUCCCGAAGAUGCAUACCAAAUAGUGGGUAGCGGGUUUCGUAUGUAAGUGUUGAACUAAAGGUAGAGACUCAUAACUGGACUGACUAGAGUAAACCUAUAUGUCUAUGCUCGUAUACAUAAUAGAUAACUAAUGAAUUAAGAGACCAUCGGACGGCCAUCCGAUCCCACCAGACCACAUCUCGACGAAGAAAAGGAAAUAGGGCGGACAAGCCUUCCUAAGUCCUUCAAUCAUUUUUUACAUGCACCUAUACAAGCACAGACAUACAUCUAACUAUGACUGAGUGUGUAACAAGUGGAAACGUAUCGUGAAGUAUAACCACAUCGUGUGGAAUAACUGAAUCAUGAAGUAUAAGCUUAUAGUGUGGAAAAACCGACUUGUGAAGUAGAAGCGUACAGUGUGGAAUAACCGUCUUGUGAAGUAUAAGCGUACAAGGUCUAGAACAGUGUGACUCUGAGAGUGGGUUUCCAGCAUACAUUGUAAAAUACAGUGUAAAUACCGUUACCUUAAGGCCAUGAAUUAUAAGGUAACCUGGUAUACUCGUAACCAUACUAACCGACAAUAGAGUACCUGACGCCCUACAAGCGUCUAUUAAAUACGACAUUUGUCACCCCUUGGCUUGGUAGGCCGUGGACUGUAGCUAGCAGUCAGGGUGCGGGGGUGUCAAUACCAUAUAGAUCUAUACACAUAAUGUCCGCUCUCCCUAUAGGAGACUCUUGUUACCAACUAGACGACGGAGAAGGCCGUGUCGCGAAGAUGCAUCCCAAAUAGUGGGUAGUGGGUUUCGUAUGUAAGUGCUGAACUAGAGGUAGAGACUCAUAACUGGACUGACUAGAGUAAACCUAUAUGUCUAUGCUCGUUUACAUAAUAUAUAACUAAUGAAUCAAAUGACCUUCGGACGGCCAUCCGAUCCCACCAGACCACAUCUCAACGAAGAAAAGGAAAUAGGGCGGACAAGCCUUCCUAAAUCCUUCAGUCAUUAUUUACAUGCACCUAUACAAGCAUAGACAUACAUCUAACUACGACUGAGUGUGUAACAAGUGGAAACGUAUCGUCAAGUAUAACCAAAUCGUGUGGAAUAACCGAAUCAUGAAGUAUAAGUGUAUAGUGUGGAAUAACCGACUUGUGAAGUAGAAGCGUACAGUGUGGAAUAAGCGUCUUGUGAAGUAUAAGCGUAUAGUGUGGAAUAAUCGAAUCGUGAAGUAUAAGCGUUACCCAAUAUAAGUGUAUCAUGAAGUGGAAGCGUUAUCGAGUAGGAGUUUAAUAUAGGUAAAAGCGAAGCAGCAGUAUCUGACAAGUAAAAGUAAAAGUAUACGACAUGAAAGACAACUUUGAUGAAAACCUUGGAAAAACCUUUAUACUUAAGAAAAUCACAACUUGGUAUUCUUUGGUAAAAUAAGUUUGAAAACCUUUAGAAAUUCUUUGGAAACCUUUCAUAAACCAGUUUAAAAUGAACUUUGGUAAAACAGCGUAAGUAAGAGUUUUGAGCAAGUGAAAACAUUUUAGAAAACCAUUUAUAGUAUCCUACUCGGUAAAACAGUUUAGAGAGUGGUAAAAUCUUUGUGCAUGCGGGUAAUCAAUCACAUGUGAUUGAUAUGAUAACUGGCAUGUUUAAAUUGUAUUCCCACCCCCCCUAUAAAACAUGUAAAAACAUUUAAAAGGUCCAUUCAGGGGUAUGAACUCACCUGGUGUAAGUGGAUCCGACGAAGGCACCGGUUGGGUGCUCGGUGUCAAGUAAGGACUUGGACACACUUAGAGACCUAUUUAACGUAUGUUCACAUACAAUUAGUAUAUUAAAUACUAAUUAAACAAGUAUACGCACUCUAAGGAGCAGAAAACACUUUGGUUAAGUGUUUGGGGUGUCCCGGGUAACAUUUAAGGGCUUGAAUGGCUUAGGAAUGGAGUCUACUCUUCAAGAGUAAACUCUAUAUAUAGAGUUCACGGCCCUGGGAAAACUCCCCAUGAGUUUACAUCCGUAAACUCAUGGUGAGGGGGUUCUAGGAUGCUAGUGGGUCUCACAUCAAUUGUAGAUUUAAGCUAGGUCAAAAAAUAAGUUAUAUGAAUGGAUUUAAGACUUCACAUGGACCAUUGAGGAGUUUACGGCCCUAAGCAAGGGAGCUUACUACCAUAAGCUCCUAUACACUCAUUCCUUUGGUGUUGUAAAGUCUUAAAUGGUAGAGGAUAAAUCCCUAAGCAUUUUUCCAAGUUGAAUGAAGGAGUUUGUGCACCAUUUGGGCAUUAAAUGGGAGUUUACGGCCAUUGAACCACCCCUAUGGGAGCUCACGGCCGUGAACUCCUAUCCCUUUGGUUUUAGUGAAGUUUAAGGCUUCUACAAUGGUGGUAUUGCUUCAAGGUAUUUUUCCAAGGCCAAACGGGGUGUUUGGGGCAUUUCUAGCAUAAAAUCUUGAGUUUUACUCCCCAUGAGGAGGAGUUUACAGCCCAAUCAUGUUCUUGGGCAGUAAACUCAUGUUUACUCCCCAAAAUGCUAGUUCAAGGUGUUCUAAGUCUGAUUCCAUAAGCCUACAAGUCAUAUAUAAGCCUUAGGGACAAUUUGGAGGGGUUUUGGGGCUUAAAAACCCCAUUAAAUGGUUUUCACGGCCUAGAGUGUUCUUGGGUCGUAAACACAUCUUUUUGUCCCUAUUUUAUGAUUUAAACAUGAAUUUGCAUGCUAGAUAAGUUAUACAACGAGUUAGGAUAGUUUACCUACUCGUUUGGGGCUCGAAACGGACGAUUUUUGGCUCGGGAAAAAGUUGCAGAGAGAGAGUUUAGAGAGAGAGUAAAAAGGUUGAAAUGGAGUUUAAUCUCCCUUAUGUAGGGGUUGGAUUUAAGCUCAAUGGAAAUCUACCCGAUACUGCCGUUAUACGGGGCUUUUGGUCGCACCCGAUUUAGUGGUCUUAAUAAUAAAAACUAACUUUUUCCAAAUUACUAUAGAAAUGUAAUUUAAGUGUUUUUAUUUACUUUAUUAUGACUAUAAAGACAUAAAAAUAUAUAUAAAUAAAAUAUUUAUUUAUUUGGCAACCUCUAAUUAAUGGAACUUUUAUAAAAUGGAAUAUUCCGUCAACGGUAACAGGGUAAUGUAACAGAAUAAACUUUGGGUUGUCACAUCAUCCCCCGUUAGAGGGAAUUUUGUCCCAAAAUUCAGGUCUAAGCAAGGAAUUAGGUAUGAAUGACCGAGUAGAGGCAGGAAGGUAGUUCCUAUUCUGUUUGUCCACGCAUGCCCAAGUGAAUUUUGGUCUGUGUUUGUCAUUCCAACAAACCUUCACCUAUGGGAUGCGGAUUCUGUCUCAUGUAGUUAGCGAGUUCCAACUGGUGUAUCUACGAGGUUAGGAUUCUCAAUGGUCUCUAUCAAGAUGAGUGGGAUACGAAGAGUGACGUCGGGUAAACACAUAUCAAGUCUAAGGAGUGGAUCGAUCGGGUGUGAAACUUGUGGAAUAUCUGGAAGUAGUAGUGGUCUGAUGAGGGUUGGACCAAAUCUCUAUGAGGGUUCUCAGAUGGUCCUAAGCUCUCGGAAGGGUAGAGCUUUUCAAUACUUAGAACAUAGUGUACUUCUAUGGCAAGAUCAUCACUGGCGUGAUCGCCAUUCUGAAGUUCCUAACGUUCUCUCCCGUACUGGUAGUGUAGUCCUUCAGGUUGGUUCUUAGGAAUCUCGGGUUGUCUUUGGUUUCGUGCAUCCUGUCAAUUGGCUUUUAGAGGCUUUUCUAGAUCGUCGAAUGGGUUGCGUGACUAUGGUUAUCUGAUUGCUGUAGAGUGUCUAUCUCAAGCUUGUGCAAAGUGAACUUGCACAAACGAUUCUUGAGAUACGGAAACCCUUAGCGUCGGGGAGAUAGGGUUUCACUCGACAAGUGUUGGACUAUCUCGGGAGGUGGUUCUACUAUUUUUGGGCGAGAUAGUAUUCGUGGAACACCUAAUAGUCCAAUUAAUCUCUAAGACAUUGGUUUAUUCUAGUGCAGAAAGCGCAUGUUCCUGCAUAACCUCUUGACUAACACCAAGGUUGGUGUCAAGUGUANCUCUUCGGGACUGGGUCAUGAGGCUUAACGAAACUACUUUCUCACUUUGAUCAAGUAUUCUUGGCUGCGGAGGUUAUCCUGUGGUUCUUGGUAUUCUAGUUUUCACUUCGGAGAAUGAAGUCUAUUGUCUACAGGGCGACAACGAUUUCCUCCAUGCGAGGGGGCGGAGGAUCCUAGGCACUAUUUGUCUGCAACGGAGUAGACGAAGUGCCUGAGUAGUGCGAACAUCCUCAGCAACUACUCUUCCGAAGGUUCUGAGUUUUCUAGGUCCAGAUCAAAUCUAGUGAGUAUAGGAUUACAUUACUCGGUACUUUAAUCUCCUCAUCCAUUCUUCUCAGAGUUUAACUCAUCGCAACUUUCAGAUUUCUGGGACAUCCGCUGCGAUGCUCAAAUCGGGGAAUUGAGCAUGGAUGGAUGGUCGCAGUCAAUGGUCUUGACUCUUACGACUCAGAUUUCUUUACCAACCGAGGGCGUUAGCUACUAUGUUGGCUUAAGCAGAAUGACGACAACUUCGGAUUUGUGGUCAUUAUAGUAGCUCAUUCUGUAGGGGUUCUUUUGACUCUAGCUCCCGUUUCAUGGGAUAGGAUGAAGGGUCUUUCUAGGGAAUCUACUUGGUAUGCUUCGGGUGGUUAUUGUCUUCCGGAAAGCAUGCAGUGCCUUUCGCUUCAGUUCUUAUCUGUCUAAUGAAGGUUGGUUAACAGCGUGUGGUACCCCUCUCCUGGGUACUUCGGAAGGUUUGAAAUAGAAGUGAUGACUGACGAAUCACAUUAGUCUUUAUUACUUUUAUUUUGUUUAGGUUCGGAAGAACCUUUAUUUGCCGAAAGGGCUAUAGCGAAAGUUCUUUUACACAGCACUAGGGCAGAACACAUGGUUGAACGAAGUCAAACCAUGAUCCUUAGAGUCGUCGAAGUUGGCACACUUCGACAUGAUAUAAAAUGAAGAUCGAUAGAGUCAUGCGCCGAACAGGCACACAAGUUCUAGGUGUCUUGAGUUUCGUCCUGCGUAUCACUGCCGUGGAUACAUAGACCGAUAGAGUAGACGCGGAACUAUAGAGAGUUCUAAGUGUUUUCUAAGUGGAGUACCUUUUCAUGAAUGGAUUCUCACGAGGCAUGUCUAUAAUUGCCUAACAUAUACUAGUCAUGUAUAUUUAAGGUGGGGAGGACUGUUGACUGAGCAAUUCCGCCUUAAAUCCACAACCAAACGAGGAACAGGAAAUGAGGCGGCAUUCACUCACUCUAGGUCUAUCCAUCUUAACUAUACAUAGCCGUAACGUAUAUGUUUUAGCCAUUAUAGUUUUACCUAAUGAAUUUUUAAAUUUUAUAACAGCUGCGACUUUCACCAUAAUGGGGAAGAAAAUUACAUUUGAAUUAGCCUUUUAUUGUUUUCAGUUUAGUUAUCCGAGAUCGAGAGACGUACCAAAAUCUACUAGGUUCCUUGAUGCUUUUCCCUAAGCAUUAGAGUUAGACUCCUCCUGUGUCUUUGUCUUUCCCUUCGGUUGGGUAGUCCUUCUUGAAGUGUCCCACGUCACCACAUAGGUGGCAAACUGUACGGGUCGCCACAUUGGUGGUUGAUGUAAUGAACUCAACCGGGGUUCUGCAAACGCGAGCAGUAUGCCCCAACAUGUGGCACCUAGCACAAUAGAGCUCCCGGCAGACACCAUGAUGAUGGUAGCUGCACUUGUUGUAAUGGGGAAUAUUUCCUAAGUAUGGUCUCUUAGGUGUAGGGAUGGAAGGGUUGGUAGGGAAUUUGACCAUCUCAACUCGUUGCCCUUCAGAAGGUCCUUGAGCCGAGGUACUUACCUCCUCGAUCUUAAUCUUUCUCUUCAGUGGAUUUGAGUGAGGUUCUUGGGUGGCUGGGUAUGCAGGGGUUGGUUGUUGCUGUCCAUUUCUAGGAUCGGAAAUCCCGAUAAGGCCCUUGCUAACAUUGGCGUUGUUAGCAUUCAAGUGAGCCAUAACAGCUGCUACGGCUGUCGAGACUGCAGCUUGGAACGUAGCUUCAUCGAAUAAGAGAGUAGGUUUCUUGCUUGCGGACUGGUUGCGCUUCGUCGGAGGCAUGGUUUUCCUACACGGAAAGGAACACAAGGUAAUGAGAGACGAUGACUGAACCUGGACAUAUUUGUCCCGAUUGUAUUAGGCGUAAAUUUUCCCGUGCCUCGGAUGUUGGUUGUCUGAGUGUCGACCUACAUCCCUCUGAUGUAGUCCUGGUAUGCAAGGUAGGAGUAUGAGUAUCGGAAAGAGGCCACAAGAUCCGAGUCAUUCCUACUACGUUACCUUUAUAGUGGGAAAGGUUUCACUCUCCGGCCUGGAGAGAUUGGAGAACAGUUCGGAACGAAACCGCGGAAAGAGAGGCUCAUGUAGGCUUAUGGCUAAAUACUCUCAAUAGAGGUGUGGGGAUCCGCUCUAAUCGUGUAACUGGCAACGGGAAACGACGAUUUACCUAACACAUAGCGUGAGUAGUGUAACCACUAACUCACUAAAUUGUAUUAUUUUAUGGGUGUAUUAGCGUGAUGAACACGAGGCAAUGACACUUCUCUUGUUCCAUGUACUGGCUCCCUCUAUCUACCUUGUAGCUUUUACUGGAAUCGGUGUUGGUUUCCUUCGGGUAGUUACCUAAGGUUCGCUCCUCGUAUAUACACAUUGAAUUUCUACUCCGCCUUCCUUCUGAUUCCGACUCUGGGUGUCAUCACUUCAUGAUGGAUGACUGGAAAUCUCAGAAGUUUAGGCAAAUCUCUCACCAAAGUCCCUAAAAAGAUAUAGGCACUUGGUGAAUUCAAUAGUCUCGACCCAGUAUAUUUAUUUCCGAACAGGAAAUCUUCUCAAUGAACUCCUCUGGGUCUGAAUCAACUCUUCUGCCGAGUACUGAAGUGGAUAGGGUUUUCUACAGGGUUCGUGCGAGAAUGGAAAUGUCUAAAGAAUCCUAAGACAUUAUUAACAUUUCACUGAGUGAUCCAUGUCGAGUCCUGCUACGAUUACACAGGGUAUACAAAUCAUAUAUAGCUUAGAUACAAUAGGCUUUCGAAUAUGUGAUACUACUCUAUAUCCACAUCCCAACGAGGAAAAGGGUGUAGAGCGAAACCACACAUUCUUAGCCUAUGGGAUCCUUAUUAUAUAUAACCUUGGGAGUAUACUCUCUGUAAUUGUAGGUAUAUCAAUAAGGAUCUUUUUAGUUCUUCACACAAGGUUAGUUAUGGAUCCUAAAAUACCCCUAUGGUAUUUAAAUUCUUGUUUGAUUCCUAUCUUCUGAUUAUGAUUCUGGGAUUAUUGUUAGUCUUUUAGUAUUCCAAAAUACUUUUAUAGUAUUUUAAACUUUAUGUUUGGCUCUAUCAAUCCUAAUUGGUAAGUUUCAGACCUGUUGCAACACCAAUAUCACUCCCGAGCACACGUUCAUCGCAUCUCGAAUAAAUGUAGUUGAUCAGGUUACAUUUAUUCCAGCUUACGAUUACAUAACUGCCCAGGUUUGACGGCAAUGCUCAACAUCCGAAGACUUUUAUUCUUGUUGUUCUUGUGAUACUUUUGUUCGAGUGUUUAGAUUCUGGAUGUUCUUAUACUUUGGUAAAAUAUGGUUAUAUUUUAAAGUAUAAUUCUUGGUCAGAGUGUUCUAUCCCGUUGUAUUUAUAGGCUGUGUAUCUUUUAUGAAUUGAUAUACUUAGCUCACUAUAAACAAUGCUCUGAUACCAAUCUGUCACACCCUAAAACCGGAAUGGCGGAAACGUUCUGGGGUGGAUGACGUCAUGUCAAGUAUCACAACACAUGCAUUAUAGUAAUCAAAGUACAAGAAAACAUUUCACUAAUAGCAAUAGUUUUACAUGGUUUACAUGACAGUACAUAAAGGUAAUACAAGUAAAUAUAAUAAGUACAGCAUGGUACUAAGCUAUCUUCAUCAACAGCUCCGGGGAUGUACCUGUCUAAUGUUGACCUGAGAAUACAAGUUAUUUGAAAAGCGAGUAUCAGCAUUUUUACAAAUGUUGGUGAGUUCAUAUGUAUUUAGUGUCAUUUUUAUUCAGCAACUUUAAUAAAAGUGGUGGUUUUAGAGUAUCCAUUAUAUUAGAGUCCUUUCUAGAAAAUCCUAUAUUUUCUUUAAUAAAAGCAGUCUGCUACCAAGACUGGACGAAGUUAUGUGGUAAAAAGUAGUUUUCCCUUAAUCGCUAUCAUUAUCAAAAUACAAAAUUUGAUUAUUAAAGAAAGCAAGAGAAAUCAGGGAAAAUAACAUAUGCCUCAGCAGUGAAGACUGCUGACUAAGGCAAAAGGAUCAUAGACUCCAAGAGAGUAUCGAACGAACGACACGCCUGGCUCAGUCUAACAAGGGAGACAUAGACCCCAGACUGUAUCAAAUGAAAGAUACAGCUAGUAAGGUCUAAAACAAAGGAUACAGACCCCAAACAGUAUCAAAUGAAAGAUACAGCUAGCAAGGUCUAAAAGAGUGGAUACAAACCCCAGACAACAUCAAAUGCAAGGUCUAGAACAGUGUGACUCUGAGAGUGGGUUUCCAGCAUACAUUGUAAAAUACAGUGUAAAUACCGUUACCUUAAGGCCAUGAAUUAUAAGGUAACCUGGUAUACUCGUAACCAUACUAACCGACAAUAGAGUACCUGACGCCCUACAAGCGUCUAUUAAAUACGACAUUUGUCACCCCUUGGCUUGGUAGGCCGUGGACUGUAGCUAGCAGUCAGGGUGCGGGGGUGUCAAUCCCAUAUAGAUCUAUACACAUAAUGUCCGCUCUCCCUACAGGAGACUCUUGUUACCAACUAGACGACGGAGAAGGCCGUGUCGCGAAGAUGCAUCCCAAAUAGUGGGUAGUGGGUUUCGUAUGUAAGUGCUGAACUAGAGGUAGAGACUCAUAACUGGACUGACUAGAGUAAACCUAUAUGUCUAUGCUCGUUUACAUAAUAUAUAACUAAUGAAUCAAAUGACCUUCGGACGGCCAUCCGAUCCCACCAGACCACAUCUCAACGAAGAAAAGGAAAUAGGGCGGACAAGCCUUCCUAAAUCCUUCAGUCAUUAUUUACAUGCACCUAUACAAGCAUAGACAUACAUCUAACUACGACUGAGUGUGUAACAAGUGGAAACGUAUCGUCAAGUAUAACCAAAUCGUGUGGAAUAACCGAAUCAUGAAGUAUAAGUGUAUAGUGUGGAAUAACCGACUUGUGAAGUAGAAGCGUACAGUGUGGAAUAAGCGUCUUGUGAAGUAUAAGCGUAUAGUGUGGAAUAAUCGAAUCGUGAAGUAUAAGCGUUACCCAAUAUAAGUGUAUCACGUAGUGGAAGCGUUAUCGAGUAGGAGUUUAAACUAGGUAAAAGCAAAGCAGCGGUAUCUGACAAGUAAAAGUAAAAGUAUACGACAUGAAAGAGAACUUUGAUGAAAACCUUGGAAAAACCUUUAUACUUAAGAAAAUCACAACUUGGUAUUCUUUGGUAAAAUAAGUUUGAAAACCUUUAGAAAUUCUUUGGAAACCUUUCAUAAACCAGUUUAAAAUGAACUUUGGUAAAACAGCAUAAGUAAGAGUUUUGAGCAAGUGACAACAUUUUAGAAAACCAUUUAUAGUAUCCUACUCAGUAAAACAAUUACAGUGUGGUAAAAUCCUUGUGCAUGCGGGUUAUCAAUCACAUGUGAUUGAUAUGAUAACUGGCAUGUUUAACUUGUAUUCCCCCCCCCCCCUAUAAAACAUUUAAAACAUUUAAAAGGUCCAUUCAGGGGUAUGAACUCACCUGGUGUAAGUGGAUCCGACGAAGGCACCGGUUAGGUGCUCGGUGUCAAGUAAGAACUUGGACACACUUAUAGACCUAUUUAACAUAUGAUAACAUAUGUUCACAUAAAAUUAGUAUAUUAAAUACUAAUUAAACAAGUAUACACACUCUAAGGAGCGGAAAACACUUUGGUUAAGUGUUUGGGGUGUCCCGGGUAACAUUUAAGGGCAUGAAUGGCUUAGGAAUUGAGUUUACUCUUCAAGGGUAAACUCUAUAUAUAGAGUUCACGGCCCUUGGACAACUCCCCAUGAGUUUACGACCGUAAACUCAUGGUGAGGGGGUUCUAGGAUGCUAGAGGGACUCACAUCAAUUGUAGAUUUAAGCUACGUCCAAAAAUAAGUUAUAUGAAUGGAUUGAAGACUUCACAUGGACCAUUGAGGAGUUUAUGACCCUAAGCAAGGGAGCUUACGGCCGUAAGCUCCUAUACACUCAUUCCUUUAGUGUUUUCAAGUCUUAAAUGGUAGAGGAUAAAUCCCUAAGUAUUUUUCCAAGUUGAAUGAAGGAGUUUGGGCACCAUUUGGGCAUCAAAUGGGAGUUUAUGGCCCAUGAACUGCCCCUAUGGGAUUUCACGGCCAUGAACUCCUAUCCCUUUGGUUUUAGUGAAGUUUAAGGUUUCUACAAUGGUGGUAUUGCUUCAAGGUAUUUUUCCAAGGCCAAAGGGGGGUGUUUGGGGCAUUUCAAGCACAAAAUCUUGAGUUUUACUCCCCAUGAAGAGGAGUUUACGGCACAAGCAUGUUCUUGGGCAGUAAACACAUGUUUACUCCCCAAAAUUCUAGUUCAAGGUGUUCUAAGUCCGAUUCCAUAAGCCUACAGGUCAUAUCUAAGCCUUAGGGACAAUUUAGAGGGGUUUUGGGGCAUAAAAACCCCAUUAAAUCGUGUUCACGGCCCUAGAGUGUUCUUGGGCCGUAAACACAUCUUUUUGUCCCUAUUUUAUGAUUUAAACAAGAAUUUUCAUGCUAGAUAAGUUAUACAACGAGUUAGGAUAGUUUACCUACUCGUUUGGGGCUCGAAACGGACGAUUUUUGGCUCGGGAAAAAGUUGUAGAGAGAGAGUUUAGAGAGAGAGAGAGUAAAAAGGUUGAAAUGGAGUUUACUCUCCUUUAUAUAGGGGUUGGAUUGAAGCUCAAUAGAAAUCUACCCGAUACUGCCGUUAUACGGGGCUUUUGUUCGCACCCGAUUUAGUGGUUGUAAUAAUAAAAACUAACUUUUUCCAAAUUACUAUAGAAACGUAAUUUAAGUGUUUUUAUUUACUUUAUUACGACUACUAUGACAUAAAAAUAUAUAUAAAUAAAAUAUUUAUUUAUUUGGCAACCUCUAAUUAACGGAACUUUUAUAAAAUGGAAUAUUCCGUCAACGACGGGGUAAUGUAUCGGAAUAAACUUUGGGUUGUCACAGACGAAUAGUCUUAUCAAUAUUUUGUUGUGGGCUUAAUCAGUACACAAGAAUGUGUACUCGAUCCCUUAGUCCUUUACUUGGCUCACACAUCCAUGUGAACAAGUAAUUAGUCUUAAUUUUCCAAUGCUUGAAAGUUCUCAUCCAUCAUGCUAUACAACUUGCAUGAUUCCAAUUCUCUAUCUAACUAAAACUUGGGUGACGAGAAACUUUCCAUAUAUUGUAAAUUUAGACAUUACCACAAAUGAGAGAAUCAAAUUCACAUUCCAAUAUUGCUAUCAGUGGAAUCUUAUAAGUAACAAUUUUCCACAAACGCCAUUGUAAGGAUACAUAAAAUAAAUAAAUUAAAAAAUUUCCAUUUAUUUUAAAACUUUGAGGAAAAACUUAUCCUUACAAUCCAUAUGAAAACUUGUUGUUAUCUAUGUUGGAUAAGGUGUCUAAGUCCAUAACUAUUUCGGGCUUGUACUUGACCCGACCCGGCAUGGUCCAUUUGGGUUGCAUGGCACCAUGCAAUUGGUUAGACUAAAUGAGAGAAAUAACACUUGGAGAUUAUUAAUAUAUUAUAAGUUCUAAUAUAUUAAUAAUAUUAUUUGAUUAGUUUGAUCAAGAAUUAAUUUGGAAUUAAUUAAGUGAUCAAAGGUUAACUAAUUAAAUAUAUGGGUUCAUCCAUAUCUUGUAUAGUGGGCUAAGAGGCUCCAUGGAUUAUCAAGUUGGGUUCUACCCAUAGGAUGCUCCAUGGAUGCUCCAUGGGAGUUACAAACCCAUGGGUCAUGGAAAUGAAGAGUCAUGACACAUUAGGGUUUACAUGGUGUAACCCUAGAUGUGUCAACACUAUAUAAGGAGCCCAUUCUCCACCAAAAUCGGCAAGACAUAAGAAACAAGAGGGCUUGGCCGAUUUUGAGAAGUGUGUGUUAUCUCAAGAGUCUUUCCAAGAGCAUUUGGUGUUGUGUGAAGCAUUUGAGGCAUCACACUUGGGGUGCUAGGCUCACAAGGUUUCAAGGAACACAAGCAACAACAAGGUAAGUUAUUCUAUCUAUGAUUCAAGUUAAAAUUGUUCCCCAUGUAUGCUAGAUAGGAAUAUAACCUUGGAAUUCAACUUUGCAUGAUAAUUAGACAAACAUAGAUCCAAGGUUAUUAGGGUUGCAUGUACACUUAGGAAGUGUUAGAAUGCUCAAAACCCAUCAGUGGUAUCAGAGCCUAGGCUUGUUUGUUUGUUAUUUGUGCUUAAAAGUUGAAGAAAGUCGAAAAUCUUGCUGUCUGACUGAUGGACUCGGCGAGUCCAUGGGGAGGACUCGACGAGUUCAUGUGUAUCUUCAACCUACUCGGCGAGUAGGUUUAUGCACUCGGCGAGUAGGGUCGACAGAGUGCAGAAUUUCGACUUGUGUUGCUGGAAAUGGAUUAGAAUCAUUACCCUAAAAUGUUUUGGUACUUGAAAACUUAUUUUAGAAGGUGUAAUGUCUUUUCUAACUCAUUUACAACAACUAGUUAUCAAAAUUACAAAGAUUAAAUGUGAUUUUGAUUCUUGAAAGUGUUCAUAUUCAUAUUCUUGUUCUUAUGAUGUUUAGAUGAUCAUAGGAAUUAUUUGUAACCUAUGUGGUAGAUUAAUUCAUGAUCAUAAUGUGUUUUAAUGGAGUCCAUAACUUGUCCUCAAGUUAUGGAAAACCAAAAGUCUCUUGGAUUAAAAACCAUUAAAAGAACACAAGAGUUAGGAAAAAUGAAAAGUCCUCAUUUUAUUACUCUAUUAAACUCAUAAGUUACAAGAAAUGAAAAGUUUUGAAAGUUUACAAAACUUGCCCUCAAGUUUUGGAACAAGUAAAGUUAAGUUAAAACUUUAGUUCCAACCCCUAGAAUUUUAAAAGUUAAAAUUCAACCCUUAUACUUAUAUUAUUAUGAUUUAAUAAUUAUAUAUAUAUGUAUAAGAACAAAGUCGUCUUACCGCUAGUACGCCUCAUUCACGAAGCCGGUCUAUAAGGUGGGUAUAAGG
rnacentral:lncRNA from 1 species